CCACAUAGAGACACAUGAGCAUCCAAUCCCAGUAAUUGUUCCAUUGUGAGGUAACACUGGAGCAGCAAAGCUUUCAAGGACUGUUAAGGAGUGUGAGAAAAAGCAGGAAGGAGAUGAACUGUGGAUCAACAUGACUGGAAGGAUGCCCACUGGAGCAGGAGGAGACCAAAAUUAGGCUAGAAGUGCAAGGGUCUUAUAACGAUACUGAUAACUGCACUUCAAAACAAACUGUAACCAAUUACAUAUCCAAUCAGUUCUUCCGUAUGGGGCAAAACUCCAUCAACUGCCAAAGACAGAAAAACAAGUCAUAUGAACUGAAGCAAAAACAGGGGAGUGCCUUCUGCAGCUGGAAAGGGUGUGAGGUGUGACUGGAGAACAGGACCCACACUGCCCACAGCCCACAAGACCGCCGGGCUUGGACCUGCAGCCUCCACAUAGCUGGGCUCUUCUCUUUUCUAAACUCGGCUUCUUCCUCUGGGCCUCCUUUCUUUCUGCUAUUGCAGAUGUGGAGGGAAUGUGGGCUCAGGCAGCUCCAAAUUCUCAUCCUAGUCACUACCGCAAGACACCCCACCUGACCCAAGAGAGCACAAGCCCACCUGUAGAACCAUCACCGCAGCCCAAGUGGACAUGGGCCAACGUGAUUGGCCAGGCCUUGGUCAUGUGCUUGCCCAGCUGCGGAGGGAGGACAGGGCAGUGCCCUGACAGGCCCCUCAGAGUCGCAUGAUUGGCAAGGGCCAUGCUCACUUCUCGAAGAACGUGCAGGAGAGGAGCUGGGGGUGCCACGUCUCUGCCUCGUUGGAUGGUGUGUCUCCCACAGAUGUUUACAGCCAUUGCCUUUCACGUGUCAGCCAUUCUUAUAGGUAAUAAGAAAUAUAGGAAAUAAAUAUAUUAAGCCUU